rnacentral:rRNA from 1 species
GACGAACGCUGGCGGCGUGCUUAACACAUGCAAGUCGAACGGAAAGGCCCUGCUUUUGUGGGGUGCUCGAGUGGCGAACGGGUGAGUAACACGUGAGUAACCUGCCCUUGACUUUGGGAUAACUUCAGGAAACUGGGGCUAAUACCGGAUAGGAGCUCCUGCUGCAUGGUGGGGGUUGGAAAGUUUCGGCGGUUGGGGAUGGACUCGCGGCUUAUCAGCUUGUUGGUGGGGUAGUGGCUUACCAAGGCUUUGACGGGUAGCCGGCCUGAGAGGGUGACCGGCCACAUUGGGACUGGGAUACGGCCCAGACUCCUACGGGAGGCAGCAGUGGGGAAUAUUGCACAAUGGGCGGAGGCCUGAUGCAGCAACGCCGCGUGCGGGAUGACGGCCUUCGGGUUGUAAACCGCUUUCGCCUGUGACGAAGCGUGAGUGACGGAAAUGGGUAAAGAAGCACCGGCAAACUACGU